AGUAAUACAAGGCAGACGGCUCAGUAACACGUAGUCAACCUACCCUAUGGACAAGAAUAAUCUCGGGAAACUGGGCAUAAUUCUUGAUAGAUCAUAAUGCCUGGAAUGGUUUAUGGUUAAAAUGAUUCGUCGCCAUAGGAUGGGACUGCGGCCUAUCAGCUUGUUGGUGAGGUAAUGGCCCACCAAGGCGAUUACAGGUACGGGCUCUGAGAGGAGAAGCCCGGAGAUGGGUACUGAGACACGGACCCAGGCCCUAUGGGGCGCAGCAGGCGAGAAAACUUUGCAACGUGCGAAAGCACGACAAGGUUAAUCCGAGUGAUUUCUGCUAAAGAAAUCUUUUGCCAGUCAUAAAACCACUGGUGAAUAAGGGGUGGGCAAGUUCUGGUGUCAGCCGCCGCGGUAAAACCAGCACCUCAAGUGGUCAGGAUGAUUAUUGGGCCUAAAGCAUCCGUAGCCGGCUUUGUAAGUCUUCGGUUAAAUCCAUGUGCUCAACGCAUGGGCUGCCGAAAAUACUGCAUAGCUAGGGAGUGGGAGAGGUAGACGGUACUCAGUAGGAAGGGGUAAAAUCCUUUGAUCUAUUGAUGACCACCUGUGGCGAAGGCGGUCUACCAGAACACGUUCGACGGUGAGGGAUGAAAGCUGGGGGAGCAAACCGGAUUA
rnacentral:rRNA from 1 species